CCUUACCAGGACUUGACAUGUAAGGAACCCUGUAGAGAUACGGGGGUGCCCCUUUCGAGGAACCUUAACACAGGUGGUGCAUGGUUGUCGUCAGCUCGUGUCGUGAGAUGUUGGGUUAAGUCCCGCAACGAGCGCAACCCCUGUCGUUAGUUGCUACCAUUAAGUUGAGCACUCUAACGAGACUGCCGAGGUCAACUCGGAGGAAGGUGGGGAUGACGUCAAAUCAUCAUGCCCCUUAUGUCCUGGGCUACACACGUGCUACAAUGGCCGGUACAAAGAGAAGCAAUCCCGCGAGGGGGAGCAAAUCUUCAAAACCAUCCCAGUUCGGAUUGUAGGCUGCAACUCGCCUACAUGAAGCCGGAGUUGCUAGUAAUCGCGAU
rnacentral:rRNA from 1 species